GGGACGGUAGCUCAGUCGGUAGAGCAGCGGACUUUUAAUCCGUUGGUCGCGAGUUCGAAUCUCGCCCGUCCUACCA
rnacentral:tRNA from 2 species